GACGAACGCUGGCGGCGUGCCUAACACAUGCAAGUCGAGCGGGGAACCCCUUCGGGGGUUUUCAGCGGCGGACGGGUGAGUAACGCGUGAGCAACCUUUCCUUCACAGGGGGAUAACGCAGCGAAAGCUGUGCUAAUACCGCAUGAGACCACAGGGCCACAUGGCCAAGGGGUCAAAGGAGCAAUCCAGUGAAGGGUGGGCUCGCGUCUGAUUAGCUAGUUGGUGAGGUAACGGCCCACCAAGGCGACGAUCAGUAGCCGACCUGAGAGGGUGAUCGGCCACACUGGGACUGAGACACGGCCCAGACUCCUACGGGAGGCAGCAGUGGGGAAUAUUGGGCAAUGGGGGAAACCCUGACCCAGCAACGCCGCGUGAGGGAAGAAGGUUUUCGGAUCGUAAACCUCUGUCCUCAGGGACGAAGAAAUGACGGUACCUGAGGAGGAAGCCCCGGCUAACUACGUG
rnacentral:rRNA from 1 species